rnacentral:rRNA from 1 species
ACGAACGCUGGCGGCAUGCCUAACCCCUGCCAGUCGCACGAGACCUUCGGGUCUAGUGGCGCACGGGUGCGUAACGCGUGGGAACCUGCCCUUAGGUUCGGAAUAACUCCCCGAAAGGGGUGCUAAUACCGGAUAAUGUCUUCGGACCAAAGAUUUAUCGCCUUUGGAUGGGCCCGCGUUGGAUUAGCUAGUUGGUAGGGUAAAAGCCUACCAAGGCGACGAUCCAUAGCUGGUCUGAGAGGAUGAUCAGCCACACUGGGACUGAGACACGGCCCAGACUCCUACGGGAGGCAGCAGUGGGGAAUAUUGGACAAUGGGCGAAAGCCUGAUCCAGCAAUGCCGCGUGAGUGAUGAAGGCCUUAGGGUUGUAAAGCUCUUUUACCCGGGAUGAUAAUGACAGUACCGGGAGAAUAAGCUCCGGCUAACUCCGUG